rfam:Candidatus Nealsonbacteria bacterium RIFOXYB1_FTLL_40_15 rifoxyb1_full_scaffold_348, whole genome shotgun sequence.
CGGGGUAUAGUGUAGCGGUAGCACGAGUCCUUCGGGAGGAUUUAGCUCCAGUUCAAAUCUGGAUACCCCGA